AUUGAACGCUGGCGGCAUGCCUUACACAUGCAAGUCGAACGGCAGCACGGGUGCUUGCACCUGGUGGCGAGUGGCGAACGGGUGAGUAAUACAUCGGAACGUACCUUAUCGUGGGGGAUAACGCAGCGAAAGUUGCGCUAAUACCGCAUACGACCUGAGGGGGAAAGCGGGGGACCGUAAGGACUCGCGCGAUUAGAGCGGCAGAUGUCUGAUUAGCUUGUUGGUGAGGUAAAAGCUCACCAAGGCGAUGAUCAGUAGCUGGUCUGAGAGGACGAUCAGCCACACUGGGACUGAGACACGGCCCAGACUCCUACGGGAGGCAGCAGUGGGGAAUUUUGGACAAUGGGGGCAACCCUGAUCCAGCAAUGCCGCGUGAGUGAAGAAGGCCUUCGGGUUGUAAAGCUCUUUUGUCAGGGAAGAAACAGCAGCUCUAACACAGUCUGCGAAUGACGGUACCUGAAGAAUAAGCACCGGCUAACUACGUGCCAGCCGCCGCAGUAA
rnacentral:rRNA from 1 species